rnacentral:siRNA from 1 species
UUCUCUCAUUGAGUUUCCGGUUAU